rnacentral:SRP_RNA from 1 species
GGUUGGGCCCUGAGCGGCGGAAGACUGUGAACGAGUCAGGACCGAGAGGUAGCAGCUAUAAACGGAUUCUUUCGGGUGCCUCAGGUAAACCUGGUCGAG